rnacentral:rRNA from 1 species
GACGAACGCUGGCGGCGUGCUUAACACAUGCAAGUCGAACGGAAAGGCCCUGCGUUUGUGGGGUGCUCGAGUGGCGAACGGGGAAGUAACACGUGAGUAACCUGCCCUUGACUUUGGGAUAACUUCAGGAAACUAGGGCUAAUACCGGAUAGGAGCUCCUGCUGCAUGGUGGGGGUUGGAAAGUUUCGGCUGUUGGGGAUGGACGCGCGGCUUAUCAGCUUGUUGGUGGGGUAGUGGCUUACCAAGGCUUUGACGGGUAGCCGGCCUGAGAGGGUGACCGGCCACAUUGGGACUGAGAUACGGACCAGACUCCUACGGGAGGCAGCAGUGGGGAAUAUUGCACAAUGGGCCGACGCCUGAUGAAGCAACGCCGCGUGCGGGAUGACGGCCUUCGGGUUGUAAACCGCUUUCGCCUGUGACGAAGCGUGAGUGACGGUAAUGAGUAAAGAAGCACCGGCUAACUACGUG